GACGAACGCUAGCGGCGUGCUUAACACAUGCAAGUCGAACGGAAAGGCCCUGCUUUUGUGGGGUGCUCGAGUGGCGAACGGGUGAGUAACACGUGAGUAACCUGCCCUUGACUUUGGGAUAACUUCAGGAAACUGGGGCUAAUACCGGAUAGGAGCUCCUGCUGCAUGGUGGGGGUUGGAAAGUUUCGGCGGUUGGGGAUGGACUCGCGGCUUAUCAGCUUGUUGGUGGGGUAGUGGCUUACCAAGGCUUUGACGGGUAGCCGGCCUGAGAGGGUGACCGGCCACAUUGGGACUGAGAUACGGCCCAGACUCCUGCGGGAGGCAGCAGUGGGGAAUAUUGCACAAUGGGCGGAAGCCUGAUGCAGCAACGCCGCGUGCGGGAUGACGGCCUUCGGGUUGUAAACCGCUUUCGCCUGUGACGAAGCGUGAGUGACGGUAAUGGGUAAAGAAGCACCGGCUAACUACGUG
rnacentral:rRNA from 1 species